rnacentral:lncRNA from 1 species
AUUUACCCAAACACCUUCCUAAAUUAACAAAACUUGAGAUUAGUGAAUGCGAGCAGCUGGUGUGUUGUCUUCCAAUGGCUCCCUCCAUUCGUGAAUUGAUGUUGGUGGAAUGUGAUGAUGUGAUGGUUAGGAGUGCGGGCAGUCUCACCUCAUUGGCUUCCUUGUAUAUAAGCAAUGUCUGUAAAAUACAUGAAUUAGGACAACUGAAUUCUCUUGUAAAGUUGUUUGUGUGUCGUUGUCCCAAGCUAAAGGAAAUUCCACCCAUUCUUCACAGCCUUACCUCUCUUAAAAACUUGAACAUCCAGCAAUGUGAGAGUCUUGCAUCUUUUCCGGAGAUGGCGCUGCCACCCAUGCUUGAAUGGCUUCGAAUUGAUUCCUGUCCCAUUCUGGAGUCCCUACCAGAGGGAAUUGAUUCAUUGAAGACACUUUUAAUCUACAAGUGUAAGAAAUUGGAGUUAGCACUCCAGGAGGAUAUGCCGCACAACCACUACGCUUCCCUUACCAACUUAACUAUAUGGAGUACUGGUGAUUCUUUCACGUCCUUUCCAUUAGCCUCCUUCACAAAGCUUGAGUAUCUUCGUAUCAUGAAUUGUGGAAAUCUGGAGUCCCUUUACAUUCCAGAUGGACUUCACCACGUGGAUCUCACAUCUCUCCAGAAAUUAAGCAUCAAUAAUUGCCCUAAUCUGGUAUCUUUUCCACGAGGAGGAUUGCCCACUCCCAAUUUAAGAAUGCUUCGGAUACGUGACUGCGAGAAGCUCAAGUCACUGCCCCAAGGGAUGCACACCCUCCUUACAUCCCUUCAAUAUUUGUGGAUAGAUGAUUGUCCAGAAAUUGAUUCAUUUCCAGAAGGGGGUUUGCCCACUAAUUUAUCUUUCCUUGACAUCGAGAAUUGCAACAAACUCUUGGCUUGUCGGAUGGAGUGGGGCUUGCAAACGCUUCCCUUUCUUAGAACGUUGGGGAUUCAAGGAUAUGAGAAAGAAAGAUUUCCCGAGGAGCGAUUUUUGCCCUCCACUCUCACCGCCCUUCUAAUUAGGGGUUUUCCAAAUCUGAAAUCCCUGGACAAUAAGGGGCUUCAGCACCUCACCUCUCUUGAAACUCUGCUGAUUCGGAAAUGCGGAAACCUCAAGUCCUUCCCAAAACAAGGGCUGCCCUCCUCCCUUUCAGGUCUUUAUAUUAAAGAGUGUCCUCUGCUGAAGAAACGGUGCCAAAGGAAUAAAGGGAAAGAAUGGCCCAACAUUUCUCACAUCCCCUGCAUAGUGUUCGAUAGACAGACGACAAAUGAGGAGGUGAUCUUAUCAUGAGGCCCUUCCAUCGAAGCUCUUGCUCUCCUCUGCAUUUAUUGGCCCAGGUACUUUAUGCUUUGUGUUUUAUUUUCAUUUACCAAUUCCCCGUGAGUCAGCAAGUUUAUAACUACUCUAGCAUCCAGACUGUGCUACCUAAUGGUGCUAAUAUUUUAAGACUUUAUUUUUUUCCUUUUAUAUAAUUCUUUUAUUUUUGAGACAUCAAGUGGGGUCCAGUAGAGAGUCUAGAUAUAAUUUGUGGGGGUAUCACUCAAAUAAAGAAUAAAGGCAAAGCACCACUUAGAUGUAGUUUGGAUAUAAUUUUAUAUUCUCUAUUUUUAUAAUUUUGCUUUUCUUUUUUCAUUUUUUUUGUUAUCAAAAUUUUUUUUUAAAAAAAAAUUAAAAAUAGUUACCAAAUGAUUUCCAAAGUCACUUUCAAAUUAUUAAUCUUGAAAAAAAAUACAACUAACUAUAUCAUUAAUUUGUUAUAUUGUUUUUUCAUUUUUAAUCAGGAAAUAUUAUAUUUGAUGUUUAUUAGCCUCUUGCUUUUACUUGGUGUGUUUCAUUAAAAUUGUUACUUUAAAAGACAACACUCUUAUGCAUAGAAGUUGUUUGUUCAAAAAACAAUUUUAAGAGAACUUCUUUUUCUGUUAAGUUUAGAUAAUUUUUACUAAAGAUAAACAACUUCAAAAGGCAACUUUAAUAUAAAUUCAUUUUUUAAUUUCAAUGUGCGUCUAAUAUGAAAUUGUGGAAAUUAUUUUUUUAAGUGACAACUUCCAACAUGACCAAAACUGUUGUAAAUUCCUUAAUAUUUUUAAUAUGGAAAGUGUUUUUUUCAAAAGUCAUCUUUAGUAUAAAUUUGUAAUUCUUUCAAUAUGGAAAGUGUUUUUUCAAACGACACUUUUAUUAUAAAUUCAGUUAUUUUUAAUAUGUGCCUAAUAUAAAAAUUGUGAAAUGUGUUUUUUUAAGGGAUAACUUCCAGCAUUGUCAAAAUUGUUGUGAAUUCUUAAUAGUUUUAAUAUGAAAAAUGUUUUUUCAAAAAACACCUUUAAUAUAAUUUUUUUUUAAAAUAAGUGACCGAUAUGAAAAUUGUGGAAGAUAUAUCUUCAAUAGACAACUUUCAAUAUGACAUAAAAUGCCGUAAAAUUUGAAAUAUUUUUUAAUUUGUUGUAUUUUAAAAUUUUAAUUUUAAAUUGAUUGUACUUUUAUCAAAAAUCCGUAUUAUGAGGUAAACACGUACAUUAAAAAAAGGGGCAUUAGAUAUGUGAGCCUGUUGAUUUUCGUGUGAUUUUGAUGGACAAUGCUUAAUAUCUUUUAAAAGAAGUUUAGGUGAUUCCACAUCAAGCUUAAGUCAUUGAAAUGGGAUAAGGCAAACCCCAUUAAGUAUGUUCUCCUUUGAGCCCAAAAAUCAAUAUACUUAUGAUUCAUAAGACGACCACAAGCCCUGAUAUACUUACUUUGAAAUCAUAUAAUUUUGUGAAAAUUGUAUCAAUAUAUAUAUAUUUACUACUUUCUUAUUGUGAAUUCUCUACAAUAAUAGUCAUUUUUUUGGAAAGUUUAGUGUCAUAUGUGAAUAUAGGUGUUAAUAAACUCAAACAACUAUUAGUUUAGUUUAGUGACUAGGUGAGAUAAUUGUCCAGAAAUUGAUUCAUUUCUAGAAGGGGGUUUGCCCACUAAUUUAUCUGAGCUUCACAUCAGGAAUGGCAACAAACUCGUGGCCAAUCGGAUGGAGUGGGGCUUGCAAACGCUUCCCUUUCUUAGAACGUUGGGGAUUGAGGGAUGUGAGAAAGAAAGAUUUCCCGAGGAGCGAUUUCUGCCCUCCACUCUCACCUCCCUUCAAAUUAGGGGUUUUCCAAAUCUGAAAUUCCUGGACAAUAAGGGGCUUCAGCACCUCACCUCUCUUGAAACUCUGGAGAUUUGGAAAUGUGGAAACCUCAAGUCCUUCCCCAAACAGGGGCUGCCCCCCUCCCUUUCUCAUCUUGAUAUUGAUGAAUGUCCUCUGCUGAGGAAACGAUGCCAAAGGGAUAAAGGGAAAGAAUGGCUCAAGAUUUCUCACAUCCCCUGCAUAACAUACGAUUAGGAAGAUGAGGUGAUUUUAUCACGAAGGCCUUCGAUCCAAGCUCUUGCUCUUCUCUGCGUUUAUUAGCCCAGGUACUUUCUGCUUUGUGUUCCAUAUUUUCAUUCCCAUAUAUAACUAUGCUUUGUUAUAUUAUUUUAUUUUUCCUGUUUAAUCAAGAAACAUUAUAUUUGGCUCUGUGAAUAUCUUGUAGGUUUAGUUUUCAAUUAAGAAUUGCAUACGAAUGUAAAAGCUCCUUCCUCUUGUGAUUUCGAAUUUCUUUUCCACUACCACAACAUAUCAUUUAAAAAAAAAUUUCCUGUUGUUGCUACAUUUUUUGUUUUAUUUAUUUAUUUAUUUAAUGCUUUUUACUUGAAAUUUCAUUUUUCAUGAGCUAAUGGUAAGUGCAAAUUUUUGGGAUGGGCUCAACAAAGAGGCCUCAAGAACAGUUCUACCCAUUGAAUUUGUUUCACCAAUGCUAUUGGAGUAGAUCUUGUUGCUCAUUUAAUAAUGUAUGUAUGGAUUAAAAUUUUCUUUCUCAAAUAGCUUAAGUUUUAGGGAAAGAAAUUAGAGAGGAAAAUGUGAAAAAAAAACUAAAUUGUUUAGUAAUGCACUUUGCAAAAAAAUGAUUUUCUUUUUCAUAUUUUCCAUGAUAAAGCAAAUGUGAGAAAAUUAUUUUCCUUAUUUUUCUUUAGUACUUUUUAGCAACCAAAUAUAGCCUAAUUUUUUUUCCUAUGAAGAAAUUUUAGGAGGUAAACACACUAAAAAAAGGGCAUUAGGCAUGAGAGUUUGUUGAUUUCCAUGUGCGACUUUGACGGAAAAAACUUAAUAUCUAUUAACGGAAGUUUAAGUCAUUCCACAUGAAGCAUAAGUCAUUGAAAUGGGAUAAAGUAAAACCUUAGUAAAUAUGUUCUCCUUUGAGCCCAAAAAUCAACUAUACCUAUGAUUCAUAAGACGACCACAAGCCCAAUAUACCUACUUUGAAAUCAUAUAAUUUUGUGAAAAUUGUACCAAUAUGUAUAUCUACAGCUUUCUUAUUGUAAACUCUCUACAGUAACAACCAUUUUUUGAGUAGUUUUGUAUUAUGUGUGAAUAUAAGUGUUAAUAAACUCAAACAACUAUUAUGUGUGAAAUCAUAUAAGUCAUUCCUUGGUUAUAGUUUGUUGGGAUAUUGGUUUUCAAAUUGCUUGUGUACACAACUAACCUUUUUCUAAUUCUACAUAUGCUCACAUAUGUAAAUAUCACAAUUCAUUGCAAAACUAUUCAUGUCAUGAAGAAUUUUGGAUGCAGGAACUAUCAUCUUAUUGAUGGAGGAAGGUUGUCCACCAGAAUUGUCAGUUUACUUGAUUCACUACUUGGUUUUUGCAAGCACAUCAAAAUGUAGGGAACAAAUGGAAAAAUCUACGUGGUAAAGCCCAUGCAGACAAAUCAUUUCUUCCCAGACAUUACAAUUUAGAUUCUUCAGAUAUGUCAAAGGAUUCAACAAAUGUAUUCAUAUAUUCUAAUUAGGUACCAUUCUUCUUCUAUCGUUCUACUUUUUGAAGGUGUAAUUUAUUUUCUUUAGCAAUAAUUCACAUUAUGAGAUAAUUUCUACCUUGCAAAGAAUCGAUUUGACUCCCCAAUGUUAAUACAUGAUGUUUAACUAAGACAACAUCAAAUUUGAUUGAUGAUGAUGUUUGCUUUCAACAAUGCUUGAAAUUUGCUAGGAUAGCCUAAGGUGACUCAACAUGGAGUUUAAGAUCAUAGAAAUGGGAUAAGGCAAGGCCUUGAGAAACAUAAACAAAACAUGAUGACUGAAAUUUUUUAUGGAUUUUGCAAAAUUUUUAUGAUUACCAUUUUCUUUGUUACUUUAGACUUUGUUCUCAACAAGUAUUUGUAGGUUUUAUGGUGUGACCUUUUAACAAACUUCACAUUUUUGAAACAGCUAUGCGUCUAAAGCAUCCGACUAAUAUCAUUUGUAGAGAAAGAUUGUGCACUUUUUGAUAUCUGCAUGUAUGAUGCCACAAAGGGAGCAAAAUUUUCCUACUCGAUGAAGGACAUGUGGGCAUAUCAUCCAUAAGAGAAUGUUUUGAAAAAGUUCAGAUAGAAUGGAGUGUUUUGGAAAAUGUAUUAGCAGCUGCAAGGUACCUUGCCCUCAAUUAGGUAUAUAUUCUAUUUUCUGAAAAAUUCUAUACUUUGCCUUGUAGUAAGAAUUCACAUACAAUGAGUUUUAAUAAGAGAUAACUAAUGUUUUUACUAGGAAUGAUGACCACACCUGAAUGUGGAUUCAAAUUCUCUGAAUCUCAUAAUGUGAGGACAACAUCUAGUUUGUUGUUGUUCUUGUCAAGAGAUUGUUUUUCACUGCUCAAGAUUUCAAUCUUAGGCAUUUCUGAUCACUGCUACCAGUCUAGAAUCCUGAAGGCAAUGUCAUUGCAUUGAUUCCAUGAUCUUGCUCCAAACAAAAGUUUAGUACUCUGCUUAAGGAUUGCCAUUGCGGCUGCUCCAUUCCUUGAAAGGUAUGUUUAUGUAAACAAAAGCACUGUCCAUUUGUUUUUUUAGACUUAAUAAUUAUGUAAAAGGCUAAACUAUUGUGUUAUAUCCAACCAAAAAUGAUGAACUGUUAGAAUCAUCAUGAAAAAAGCAGAGGAUCCUUUUGGUUACGCAUUCAACACAUAUUUUUGCUUAUAUUUUUCAAAUUUCCAAUCAUUGAGUAUAAGCUAAUGAAUCAAAGAACAAGUAAAAAAGUUCUUGUUGUUGAGAUUCUAAGUGAAUAGAAAUGGUUCAUGUGCUUGAUGAACUAAAGGAAGUUCUUGCAUCUAGGUCUGGGUUAAACCAUCAAAAAUAUAGUUGCAAAGCCUACUGUAUAUUUCACAAACUAUUUAUGGAAUAAAACAUUUUCAAUUUCACAUUAUGAUACCUGAUUAGACAACUUUGAGAAAUGAUAGGUUGCUCGGUCUUUUUUAAAGUAUGGUACAGAGGUUAAUCAAAUGCAUUUUGUUCCAUUGUUGUCUGCAUUUGAUGUUCAAGGUAUCUAUGAUAGUGUUCUCUGUUAUUAUGCAUUUUGCCAUCUCUUGUCUCANNNNNNNNNNNNNNNNNNNNNNNNNNNNNNNNNNNNNNNNNNNNNNNNNNNNNNNNNNNNNNNNNNNNNNNNNNNNNNNNNNNNNNNNNNNNNNNNNNNNAUUUCAAUAACAACACUUAGAUUGCUUUACAUUCCAAAUAUUUUAAAUCAUCCUCGCUUGUGUUACAUUUAUCAGUUUCUCUUUGAAAUUGUUUUUAAACUCUUAGUAUGAAAUUAAGAUUAAUAUAAACUCCAAAAUUGAAUAGCUCUGUUUAACUUUAAUGAAGUAUUCGACUAAGUACUGCUGGAUAAAGAAGAUUUAAUUGUUACAUCAAUUUCUUCUAUAGGUGUUAGCUGUUUAAACAUGUCUCCUACUUCAUGUUAUUCUGCUUCUACGUUGGGCAUCAUUGAAGCAUUUUAAAAAGGGUACUGUACUUGUACCUGCAUAACUGCCAUAAGAGGGAUAUUUGAAGGAGACACCAUUGGAGCAUGUCAAGGUGCAUUCUACUGAUGUCAACCAUAAAUGACAGGUCCUAAACAUUGGGAAUUUCAAUGCAAUAAAAAGGUACGAAAAUUGGAUAGCUUCUAUGCCUUUCACAAAUGCACUUUUAUACUAAAUCCUGUCUAAGAGAGGAAAUUAAAUCAAUCCCUGCCCUACAAUUUAGUUUUGAGUUUUUUGUUUUUUGAUUUUUGGAAACAUGUGGAUGCAUUUACACAUGCCUGAUCUCAGGAUGGAGAUUCUGAUCAAGAUUUUCUGGUUAGACUAUAAUGUGGAAUCAUGAGGACAUGGAAUUAAAUAGAGACAAUAAGCAAUUAAUCCACUUUCCCAUUCUUCUCUCUUCAAUAGGUCUUGGACAUGCCAUUCUGUAUAGGAAGAGCUUAAUCAGGUAUGCAGACUGAUUCUCCUCUUGGUUAUUAGAUUUAGUAGCUUGAAUUCAAGUAUUCAAACCUAUUCCUGCCAUCUUCUUAUACUCUUCUGUUUCCCUAAAUCAUUUGUAAGUAAUUUUUAUAAUAUUUUAUUUAUUGAAUCUAUGUUUGGAAAAACUUCUUAAAUGCUAAAAACAAGAUUUGAAGGUCAAAUUCAACUUUUGAUGACAUUUGAUAGAAUUAUUAAACUAGACCUUACACUUUCUCAGUAUAAUUUACCUAAAAAUACAAACAUCUUUAUUUUUCCUUUAAUAAAAGUUCAAUUAAAUCUUUUACACCCUCAUAUUUAAUAAAAGUAUUAAAAUUAUAAUCAUCAAACAUAAUAUCUACUUUUGCUGAAUGCUUUGAAUUUAAUAAUAUGGGAAUGACUAUCCUACAUCAUUUGUUUGGUUAUUGAGGAUUACAGUCUAUAAAAAUUCAGUCUACAUUGUUUUAGUGAAGUACUGUAAGUUUGUAUUAUGUGGUUACCCUUAGACCUAGAUUCCCAUUCAUGCUAUGAAGUGUUUGGAAGAGGUAUUUAUGUUGCAUAAGCACGAUCAAAAUGUCUCUUUCACUUUCACUAUCAAAAUAUCAUUUUCUUUUAGGUAUGUCUUCUACUUUCUGAAAAAAUAUUUUGUUUUGUCUUAUACUGAGAAUUCACACAAUGAAUUUCAAUCGGAGAUAACCUUAUUUGUAUCCUAUUUCAAGGAAUGUCCUCCUUAUCUAUAUCCUAUUUCUAGGAAUGUCACACCUAUAUGGUGGAUUCAAAUGAUUUGAACCGCAUAACGUGAAGACAACUUGUCUUAUGCUAUUGUUGGUGUUUUGACCACUGAAGAUUGCCAUCCUAAGAGUUUUAGUCGCUGCUAGCAGUCAAGAAUCCUUUAGAUAAAUGCAUGCAUUUACAUUUAUUCCAUGAUCUUGCUCCAAAGAAAAGUUUUUUACUAAUCUACGAAAGGAUUGUAAUUAUGAGUGCUCCAUUCUUUGGAAGGUAGCACUACUUGUCAAGAGUUGUAGCUCAUGUGAUUUGGUGUUCUGUUUAUUAAUUUACACUUCGGUUGAUAUAAUAUUUGGUUGUCACUCAUUAAUUUGGUUGACAUAAUCUAGGUAGAAAUUCUACCUAGAUUUUUUGUUUUGGCAUUUCAUUUCUAUUAUUUAGUUUUGAAGAUCAUAUGAUGUUACUAGCUUUAAUUUGCAUUGACCCGCUUUUCUAUAAAAUGCUUGAGUUUUCUUUACUACUAUUAAAUACAAGCAAUUGUGAAAAACUAUAGGUUGUCUCUUUUAAGGUAGAAGAGAUUUAUUUUGAUGUCCUACAACCUAUUUUCAUUUCUUACUUCUAUAAAUGUAAACUAUAUUAUUUCUUAAUCUUUAAUAGUACAAAUGAAACAUAAAUGUUAAUAUUAGCAAAGCAUUCUCCAUGUGUUGCACUAGAUUCAGUAGUUAUGUAAAAGGCUGAAAGAUGAUGACCUAUCCAAGAGAAAAUACUGAACUAUUAGAAUUAUCAAUAUAUCUUUGCUUAUAUUAGGCUGCUCUCUAUCUUUAAAGUAUGGUUCAGAGGUUAUGGUAUGCAUUAUGUUUCACUGGUUUCCAUUUUGAUGGUCAAGAUAAUUAGGAUAGGGCUGAAACAUUGUUUCCCAUUAUUAUGCAUUUUGGUAAUCUCUUCUCUCAACAAAAUUACUUCUUUCAUUUCAACAAUACUGCUUAGAUUCUUUAUCAAUUUCACUUUUACUUUGAAUAGUUUUUUUUCCUGUUAGUUUGUCUGUUUUCCUCCAAAUUGGUUUUAGAGUGUUAGCAUGAAAUUAAAGAGUAACAUAAACUCCAAUUGAACAAAUUUGUUUACCUUCAAUGAAGCAUUCAACUAUUUACUGGUGGAUAAAAAAUAUUUAACUGUUUUAUCAGUUUCUUAUUCAUUUGGCACCAUUGUAGCAUUUGAAAAAGGUACUUGAACCAAAGUAGCAGCCAUUGCAAAGACAUUUGAUGGAGGCUUCAUUGGAGCAUGUCAGGAUGGUUAAUGAGCCUUUCUCAAGUCAACAUUAAUUGGUAGGUUCUAAACUUUGGAAUUUCAACACAAUAAAAAGGUACGCAAAUUAGAUAGUUUUGUGCCUACAGCAGAUGCACUUUCACACUAGCACCUUAGUUUUAGAGUUUUUGUCAAAUUUGUGGAUGUAUUUACAAUUGCUUGCUCCUAGGAUGUUGACCAACAAGAUUGCUUGUGGGAAGAUGACGUGGAAUCACAAAUAAGUGAAAUGAUAUGGAAGGGAUAUGCAAUUGAUACCCGUCCCUAUUCUGCUCACUUGAAUGUGACUCAAGUACAUCAUUAUGCAUGGUAAGAUGUAGAAUCAACGACAUCCAUACUCAGAUUACUAUUUUGCUAUUAAUGAGAAGUUUUUUCUGACUCUAUCAUCAAAAUAAUCUGUAUUAUCUCUACCUUCAGUCUUCGGCUAACAGUAUUCAGACAGAUUUUUGCCACCUUCAACUACGGUCUUCUGUCACCAUAUAACCAUGUGUAAGCAAUCCUCCUUUUGAUCACUGCAGAUGAGUUUAUUGUCACUCAAAAAUGAAAGUCUUUUUAUGAUCGAACAGUGGUCGUCAAAAUUUGAACAGUCAUGCUAACGGUGUAGUUUGUGAAUUACAGGUUGAUGUUCAUCCUAAUAACUUAAUUCUCAUGCCCUAACUUGAAGAAAUGAUGGACAACCAAGUAUGAGAAAUGAGGUAAUAGUAAAUGGAAGAUAAAAAUUAAAAGAAAAGCUAUUAAAUUUGGAAAAGCAGAGUAUUGCUGUUUGAAGUAGACUGAAAUGUGCAAGGAUUUGUCAUUGAUGUAGGUAAGCUAUUGAACAUGUUAUCACAAAAGCAAUUUGUUGGAAAUUCACUUCAAGGAUUGUUCUUUUUAUUUAAAACGGUAUCAAGUUUUUAUUCAUGGACAGUGCAUUGCAAUUCGUCACUUGCAUGCUUCUACUGUAACCACUAUAGUUUUCCAUGUUAAUGGAGUUUCAUGCUGGCUCCUUGCUACAAUGGAACUACAAUGUCCUCCAUGCACCUUUCAUCAGCUCUUAAGGUGGGGAAAUUAGAUUUUACCUUUGUACUUUUUGAAGCGGGUAUUGAAAUGUGUUAUUGACUAUAAUAACCUGUUUCUUUUGAUUUCAUUUUAUUAUUUUUUAGGUUGUAAAUAUGGCUCCGUAUACGGAUGCUUGUGCAUAUGAUGUAUGGAUCACGCAGUGAGUGGAGAAUUGGUUCUCAUAGUUGCUGCAAAUUUGGUGCAGAAUCACAAGCACUCAGACUAACUGGAUGACUAGGCAUCAGAACAAGCUAUUAAGUAUUUUUUUUUCUCCAUUGAAUAGUUGGAAUUAAAACAUGAACAAUUGUGGAAAGAAAGGAACCGUCUUCUUCAUUAUUGAUUCAUAUAUCAACGAAAAUGGCAACAUUUGCAGCUGUUGGAAACCUACAUGUCAACAGUUCUUAGGUCUUUUAAUUUUGAAUACAUGAAACAUUUUUCCCAAUAUAUAUUGUUCCUUCUAUUGCUCCCUAGGAGUGUUUUAUGAUGAGAUAUUAUGAAGUACUAUUUCUAUAGUUCAGCAUGAUAGGGGGCUAUUCAGUAUCUUCUAGUCAUUCAGCUUUACUGAUAUGAUUCCAAAUCUUAAGAAUUAUUGCAUUCUGAAUAGUAAUGAUCUUCUUUUAACCAUGUUCCAUGUCUCUCCUCCCAUUUUACUUUUGUAAGUGGUUAGAAAUACCUCCAUUUUCAGUUUUCAUCACUUUAUAGUGGAUGAUUGCCAUUGUUUCCUUUGCUUGAUGGAAUUUUAUCUAAUAUUAGAGCUAAUUGUCCGCGUAAUCUAAAUUAAUGGUUAAUUAGUUCGGUUGUAAAGUCAGUGGUUAGAACUAUUUGCCACUUCAUGACUGAUCAUCGAGUAGAAUUGGUGAUCCCAUUGAGGGUAUUGAGGCCUCAAGAUCACGAAAAUGUAGGGCUUGAUUCAAAAAAUGAUUGUUCUAUCCCAUUGGGGCUACUUGCUAAUUCAAUUUAGCAAAUUAUUUUCAUUUAUAUUUUGCUAAUUCAAAAAAUGAGGGUAUUUGCUACUUCUCGAGCAUAAAAAUUGGAACUUCCAAAUUAUUUUCACAUUAACACUCGAAAACACAUUGAACAUAAAAUGGUUAAUUUGAAUGGAGCAGACUCUUUAAGAUUCUAGAGAAAAGGACUGAAGAAUACUUUUUCAUUGAAAUUGAAAUUUAGUAACAAGAAGGUAUCAGGGAUCAAUCUUGCUUUUCUAUUAAUCAAGUCAUUCACGCGCUUUGUGGACUCCACAAUGCCAAGAACUUCCAUGCAAUCUACCAAUUCUGAAUCAUUAUUGUGAAUGGUCCAAUAUAGGGGACCCAUAUAUUGAAAUUGAUGGAUGUAUGGGUAUGGCAAUGCCAAUAAAGUCCUCAAUUACCCCAUGACCCAUUUGUUCAACCCAUUGUUAACAUAUGGAAAAGGGAAUUUAUUAACACAUCCACUUAAAUUCUUCACAAAUUCACUUUUUUCUUUUAAAUAGUAAAUUUUACAAAUGAAAGGGUUAAAAUACCUUCUUGGUUAAUCUCUCAGCAUCUACUCAUUCAAAACCCUAACAGAGUUUCAUUUCCAUUUUUUUGGUCAUGACCGUUCAUUGCUGCACUGGCAGGUGCUAUCGUAGAUCAUGCCCUAAAGCUUGGAGAUGCACCUUGUAACCUUUUUUUUCCUUUUAAUUUCAGUGUAAAAAAAUUGAGGAAAAUGAAGGAUAAGAGAAGGAAACUAGGAAAAGAUAGGAAAUGAGAGAAAAGAAGAAAAGGUUUAGCUUUUGAAUGGAGUUUUGAGCAAAAAUAAUUCAUUUUAAAAAACAGUCCAUAUCCUAGAUUUUUGGCCAAAAUAAUUCCCAAUUGGUUUUUUUCAACCACAUAUGCAUCUAUGUGGCCUAAUUUUUUACCUUUUUUAAUGUGACAAAAUAGUAGUGGGUAAUUUUAGUUUUAAUUUUGUUUUAAACAAGUAAAACGGUAGACACCAACUACGGUUUUGACUUAAAGCUUUUUUUUUAAAAAAACAAAAUUUUGUUGUUUUAGUUGAAAAUGUUUAAAUUUAUUUUUAGAUUUAUAAAAAUAUUUAUGGAAGUGUCUUCCAACCUUUUUUGCACUUGAUUUUGUGUCUCUUUUGAUAGUUCCUUUAAUAUGAUCUUCAAUUGAGGAAAGGUAUCGGAGGGAGGGAUUUCGUUUGCCACAAAAGAAAAGUUACAAACUACUUCUUUGGUGGAUGAGACUUAGGUUUAUAGUAGAGAUGCUAAUAACGAGAAGAUUAUUGAUUGCUAAUGUUGGAUGAAGUAACUAUGAAUAAUAGAGUCUUUGUAAUUUCCAUUGUUGAUUUGUUAGCAUGGAUGUGAUUGGAAAGAACCUUUGCUUAGACCAUCUACAAUGAUGAGAGGGUGGGGAACCAUUUUGGUGUGAGAGUUUGGGUUUGUUUGUAUGAUCAAUUUGAUGUUAUGAGAAUAACAAAAGAAAUUCUAGAAUUCAUGAUGAAGAGAUCCUAUGAAUUUAAAAACUUAGAAUUGUUGAUAUAUUAGGUUAUGUGAUUAAGAGUUGACAAUUUUGUUCCUAAUUUUUUUUUUAUCAUUAGACCUUUUUAAAUUGUCUUAGUUUUCAUUGAAGAUUCAAGACUUAAGGUUGUUGUACAAUUAAUUGGGAUAACAUAGGUAACUAUAAAAAGAUCUGGAAAAGGCAAAUUGGAGUGAGUUAAAGUAUGGUGUGAAUCAUAUGUUUUAAACUAGAAAAAAUGUUUUUAAAAACAACUUUAAAAACUCCUUAGCAUCUGAUCACUAAAACCUCUCAAGCGCUCAAUUGGUGCUUGGAGUGCUUAAGUGCUUGCGUAGAGAUUUUAAUCUCUACGAAUAUUUGAAUUUCCAUAUUUUGAUUGAUUUUAUGUUAAAAAAUCAAGUUUGAAUCCACUAGGUAUUUGUAUCUUAUAUAAAUUUUUUUUAUAACAUUUUUAGUAAUAUAUUAUGUAAGAAAAAUAAUAUUUUACAGAAACACAUAUUAAAUGCUAGUUUAAGAAUCAAAAGAUUCUUUAAUUCUAUAAAGUGAUUUUAAUAACUUUGUUAAUCAUACUUACAAGUAUUAAGAAGUACUAUAAUCCCAUUGGAAUGAAUCUCAAACAGGUUUUUAUAUACCAUUCCAAUUAUUAAAUAUGUUUCUAUUAAUCUGUCAAAAAACCUAGAUGAAUAAUAUAUUAGAAUACAUUUUAUGAGUCUUUCGUCUUUCAAACUCUCAAAAAUAUCUUAUUUAAUAUGAUGAGAAUAUGGGUCACUCUCUAUGUACACCCAAUGAAACAAAAAAAUAAAAAUAAAAACAAAAGAAGUAGGUCGCCUCUUUUUUGGUUAUAUAAUUAAUUAAUUCAUUAUCAUAGUAAUAUACAAGUAUGAUCAGAGACAUUAAAGUUAAAUUACUAAUUUUGGUUUAAACAAUUAAAAAUUCCUUCUAUAUCACUUCACCAAGACAAGCAUGUGUGAAACUUUAGUUAGAGAUAUCUCAAGGUAGAGUCGAUCUUGAAAAAAUUGGCCCCAUAACAGCUGGACUGAGUGUGGACAGCAAUAAAGCAAUUUGGUUGCUUGUUGUGCAGACACACCCAUGUGACACUCCCUUUUCCUGAUUGCUUUAUUCAUUCAAGAUAUAUCAAAAGCAUGCAUUGUAUUUUCUUUCCUUAUUUCAAUAUUAAUUGACCAUUCUUCUCAAUAUUGAACCGUGUAGAACAGUUCUUUAGAAUUGUAUAAUUUGUGGAAGUUCUUAAAGAACCCUUCUUUUUUUUGUACUUUCAUUGUGAGGAAGGGUGAUAUUUUGAUUUGAUUUGUAAAUAAUUUUCUUUUAAUAUUUUUAAAAUAUUUCCUUAAUACUUAUCGGAACCAAACAUGGCCUUGGUUUAUUGAAGUCAUAGAAAAAUAACAAAAGAAAAAGCAUAAAUAUCUUGGGUGUCUCGUAGUUUGAUCAAAUUUGGCACAUUAUUUUUUUUUCCCUACUACGUACGACCACUUGUAAUAUUUUUUCCCCCCACUUGCAAGGGAAUCAAGUCAAUUUAUACAAAUUUUUUUUUUGGCAUUUGCUUUGGACGUCAAGUUUUGACAAAUUUCCUGAAAUACCCUCCUCUGUUUUCUCAUUCUUCCAUACAGUAAGCAUGAGCUUAAGAAUGGACAAGGGUAAAACAGUAUUUAAAGCUGGAUGAAUUCCCUACUUCAUGUCUGUACACAAGCAGAGGCUUUUCCCACAAAAGCUUCAUUUCCCGUGCUGGUUGUAUUUCUCUGUGAGUCUUUGAUUCCUUCAUUUCCAAAGAAAAGAUGGCUGUGGUGGAGGCGUUUCUGUCUUCCUUGUUUGAGGUGGUGCUGGACAAGCUGGUGGCUACCCCUUUGUUAGAUUAUGCACGCCGGAUCAAAGUAGACACAGCAGUGCUCCAGGAGUGGAUGAACACUUUGUUGCAUCUCCAAGCAGUGCUGCAUGAUGCUGAGCAGAGGCAGAUUCGGGAGGAAGCGGUGAAGAGGUGGGUGGACGAUCUCAAAGCUUUAGCUUACGACAUCGAAGAUGUCCUGGACGAGUUUGACAUGGAGGCUAAGCGAUGCAGUUGGGUACAAGGGCCCCAAACCAGCACCAGCAAGGUACGGAAGCUUAUCCCCUCUUUUCAUCCUAGCGGUGUGAUUUUCAAUAAGAAGAUUGGUCAAAAGAUCAAGAUAAUCACCCGGGCAUUAGAUGCGAUUGUAAAAAGAAAGUCUGAUCUCCAUCUGACACAGAGUGUUGGAGGGGUGUCAGCAGUGACUGAACAAAGGUUGACUACUUCUUUGAUAGAUAAGGCUGAGUUUUAUGGUAGGGAUGGUGAUAAGGAGAAGAUCAUGGAAUUGUUGCUAUCUGAUGAAAUAGCUAGUGCUGAUAAGGUUCAGGUGAUUCCGAUUGUUGGUAUGGGUGGGGUUGGAAAAACAACCCUCGCUCAAAUGAUCUAUAACGACGAGAGGGUUGGGGACAAUUUCGAUAUCAGAGUUUGGGUGUGUGUAUCUGAUCAGUUUGAUUUGGUAGGGAUAACGAAAGCAAUUUUAGAGUCGGUCCCUGAGCAUUCAUCUGAUACUUCUAAUACACUGCAAUCACUACAAGAUAGUUUGCAGAAAAAGUUGAAUGGAAAAAGGUUUUUCCUUGUUUUGGAUGAUAUAUGGAAGGAGGAUCCCAAUAGCUGGAGUACCUUACAAGCUCCUUUUAGAAAUGGAGCACAAGGCAGUGUGGUAAUGGUAACAACUCGUCUUGAAGAUGUUGCAUCUAUUAUGCGCACCACCUCUUCCCAUCAUCUUAGUAAACUCUCUGAUGAAGAUUGUUGGUCACUAUUUGCAGGCAUUGCCUUCGAAAACGUAACUCCAGAUGCCCGCCAAAACUUGGAACCUAUUGGUAGGAAAAUAAUAAAGAAAUGUGACGGUUUGCCUUUGGCUGCAAAUACAUUGGCAGGUCUGUUGCGCUGUAAACAAGAUGAGAAGACUUGGAAGGAUAUGCUGAACAGCGAAAUAUGGGAUUUACGAACAGAACAAAGCAGAAUUCUUCCGGCUCUACACUUGAGUUACCAUUACCUCCCUACAAAAGUGAAGCAGUGCUUUGCAUAUUGUUCCAUCUUUCCAAAGGAUUAUGAAUUUCAAAAGGAGGAGUUAAUUUUGUUGUGGAUGGCGCAAGGUUUAGCGGGUAGCUUGAAAGGAGGGGAGACGAUGGAAGAUGUUGGUGAAAUAUGUUUUCAGAACCUAUUAUCAAGGUCAUUCUUUCAACAAUCCGGUCAUAAUAAGUCAAUGUUUGUGAUGCAUGAUUUGAUUCACGAUUUGGCUCAAUUUGUAUCUGGAGAAUUUUGUUUCAGAUUGGAAAUGGGACAGCAAAAAAAUGUUUCCAAGAAUGCUCGACAUUUUUCAUAUGAUCGUGAGCUAUUUGACAUGUCUAAGAAAUUUGAUCCCCUUCGUGACAUUGAUAAAUUACGGACCUUCCUACCAUUAAGUAAGCCUGGUUAUGAAUUAUCUUGCUACUUAGGUGAUAAAGUCCUACACGAUGUAUUGCCGAAAUUCAGAUGUAUGCGGGUUUUAUCCUUAUCUGACUAUAACAUCACUUAUUUGCCUGAUUCAUUUGGAAAUUUGAAACAUUUGCGGUAUUUGAACCUUUCUGGCACUAAAAUUCAGAAGUUACCUAAAUCAAUAGGUAUGCUUUUGAAUUUGCAAUCAUUGGUGUUGUCAGGAUGUUUUCGGCUUACCGAGUUACCGGCCGAGAUUGGAAAGCUCAUCAACUUGCAUCAUUUGGAUAUCUCUAGAACAAAAAUAGAAGGGAUGCCAAUGGGAAUCAAUGGAUUAAAAGGUCUUCGAAGAUUGACUACUUAUGUUGUUGGCAAGCAUGGUGGUGCAAGACUCGGGGAGUUACGAGAUCUUGCACACCUGCAAGGAGCACUCUCCAUUUUAAACUUGCAGAAUGUGGUUCCUACGGAUGAUAUAGAAGUUAAUUUGAUGAAAAAGGAAGACCUUGACGACUUAGUGUUUGCAUGGGAUCCAAAUGCGAUUGUUCGUGUCUCGGAGAUUCAAACCAAAGUUCUCGAAAAGCUUCAGCCUCAUAACAAGGUGAAAAGGCUCAGCAUUGAAUGCUUUUAUGGCAUAAAAUUUCCAAAAUGGUUAGAAGAUCCUUCGUUCAUGAAUUUAGUUUUCUUACGACUUAGAGGUUGUAAAAAAUGCUUGUCUUUGCCGCCACUUGGGCAGUUACAGUCUCUCAAGGAUCUCUGUAUUGUGAAGAUGGCUAAUGUACGAAAGGUAGGUGUAGAGUUGUAUGGGAAUAGCUAUUGUAGUCCAACUUCAAUUAAGCCAUUUGGAUCCCUAGAGAUUCUGAGGUUUGAAGGGAUGUCAAAGUGGGAGGAAUGGGUUUGUCGUGAAAUUGAAUUCCCUUGUUUGAAGGAGCUUUGUAUCAAGAAAUGUCCAAAGCUGAAAAAGGAUUUACCCAAACACCUUCCUAAAUUAACAAAACUUGAGAUUAGAGAAUGCCAGGAGCUGGUGUGUUGUCUUCCAAUGGCUCCCUCCAUUCGUGAAUUGGAGUUGGAGAAAUGUGAUGAUGUGGUGGUUAGGAGUGCGGGCAGUCUCACCUCAUUGGCUUCCUUGGAUAUACGCAAUGUUUGUAAAAUACCAGAUGCAGAUGAAUUAGGACAAUUGAAUUCUCUUGUACGUUUGGGUGUGUGUGGUUGUCCCGAGCUAAAGGAAAUUCCACCCAUUCUUCACAGCCUUACCUCUCUUA